rnacentral:lncRNA from 1 species
UCAAAUUAUACAGCACAGGCCAGGCAGGAUGGCUCAGGCCUGUAAUCCCAGCACUUUGGGAGGCCAAGGCUGGUGGAUUGCCUGAGGUCAGGAGUUCGAGACCAGCCUGGCCAACAUGAUGAAAUUCCAUCUCUACUAAAAAUGCAAAAAUUAGCCGGGUAUGGUGGGGCGUGCCUGUAAUCCCAGGUACUUGGGAGGCUGAGGCAUGAGAAUUGCUUGCACCCAGGAGGCAGGGGUUGCAGUGAGCCAAAAUCACGCCACUGCUCUCUGUCCUGGGUGACAGAGAGAGACUCUGUCUCAAAACAAAAGCAAAACCAAACGAAACAAAAAAAUUAUAGUCUUCCUCAUCCAGCAUCAACAAGAAAUAAAUAUUUUGCAGAAUUAAAUUUCUCAGCCCUUUUAGAGACACCAUUUUAUGAAAACCUUUUUAUGUAUUUAUUUUUAAAGAAAGCAAUUGAUGGUUUGGUUUGAACAUGACAAAAGGUUGAUCUUUUUAUUUUCCAUGACCAUAGUUAUGCAAUUAUCAUAUUAAGAUUUAAAUAUAAUCAUGGAAAACUAUUGGCAUAGAUAAGACAGUCUCAUUUGGCUCUUCACAAAAUUGCUCCAUUUUGUGCUAUAUUUUCUCUUAAAUGCUUUUUUCGUCUACUUUCUUGCAAGCUUUUCACCAUCAGUAGUUUGCGCUUCCCUUUACUCAAGCACUCCCUCUGGCUUCUGGCUUUAGAGUAUUGAAUCCUUAAAACACCGAGCAUAUAUUUAUUUGGACUUUUUCAUUUUUCAUAACUGAUGAACUCAUUUUAUGAAUAAUUGCAUAUUCCAUUACAUUGCAAAUGCAUGCACCCAUGGUGACCUUGAACAAUGCUUUGCAGUUGUAUUGCAAUUACUUUCUCUGUCUGUUCAGAUCCAAAAUGGUUAAAUAUAGAGAUCGAACCUGAAAUAUUAACCAUCUUGGUGUUCAAAUAAAAUAUAUAUUUAGCUUUGUAUAGAGUAGGGAUUGAGGCUCUUCAUCUUCCUCUGGUUUUCAUCUUCCUCUGGAAAUUUGGUAGGAUAUGUGCACAACAGAUCUUUCCUGGCAGCCACUCCCAGAUCCCCUGGAGCUCCGGCUCAAGGCUCUCUGACUGACUCCUUCCCAGAUCUUCUCAGCUUAGCAGCUGAAGACAGACUGCCUGAUCACCUCGGAAGCCUACAGGACCAUCACAGAUGCUCUGGGUAACUCUCACAGUGGAAGGUAAGUGCAUCCCCUUCUUAAUCAAUACGGAGGCAACCCACUCCACAUUAACUUCUUUUCAAAGGCCUGUUUCCCUUGCCUCCAUAACUGUUGUAGGUACUGACAGCCAGGCUUCUAAACCUCUUAAAACUCCCCAACUCUGGUGCCAACUUAGAAAAUACUCUUUUAAGCACUCCUUUUUAGUUAUCCCCACCUGCCCAGUUCCCUUAUUAGGCCGAGACACUUUAAACUUUCUGCUUCCCUGACUAUUCCUGGGCUACACGCUGCCUUUUCCCCCAGCUCAAAGCCUCCUUCACAUCCUCCCCUGUAUCUCCCCACCUUAGUCCACAAGUAUAAGAUACCUCUACUCCCUCCUUGGCAACCGAUCAUGCACCCGUUACCAUCUCUUUAAAACCUAAUCACCCUUACUGCACUUUAUCCCAUCCCACAGCACGCUUUAAAAGGAUUAAAGCCUGUUAUCACUCACCUGCUACAGCAUGACCUUUUAAAAGCUAUAAACUCUCCUUACAAUUCACCCAUUUCACCUGUCCUAAAACCAGACAAGGCUUACAGGUUAGUUCAGGAUCUGCGCCUUAUCAACCAAAUUGUUUUGCCUAUCCACCCCAUGUUGCCAAACCCAUAUACUCUCCUAUCCU